rnacentral:rRNA from 1 species
GAUGAACGCUGACAGAAUGCUUAACACAUGCAAGUCAACUUGAACUUCGGUUUGGGUGGCGGACGGGUGAGUAACGCGUAAAGAACUUGCCUCACAGCUAGGGACAACAUUUGGAAACGAAUGCUAAUACCUGAUAUUAUGAUUAUAUGGCAUCGUAUAAUUAUGGAAGCUAUAUGCGCUGUGAGAGAGCUUUGCGUCCCAUUAGCUAGUUGGAGAGGUAACAGCUCACCAAGGCGAUGAUGGGUAGCCGGCCUGAGAGGGUGAUCGGCCACAAGGGGACUGAGACACGGCCCCUACUCCUACGGGAGGCAGCAGUGGGGAAUAUUGGACAAUGGACCGAGAGUCUGAUCCAGUAAUUCUGUGUGCACGAUGAAGUUUUUCGGAAUGUAAAGUGCUUUCAGUUGGGAAGAAAAAAAUGACGGUACCAACAGAAGAAGUGACGGCUAAAUACGUG